rnacentral:lncRNA from 1 species
UACACGUGUGCGGCCUGGGCGACGGAGAGACCUUCGGGAUCGCGCGUUCUCCUGCGCGCCCUCUACUGGCCCCGGAGGACAGCGUUGACAGCGAGUGGGCGGGGCCAGUGGCGGAGGAAGUGAAGUCACUUCCGGGCUGGGUGUUUGUUUGGACUGGAGAAGGGAGGCGGCGGGCGAAGCGCACGUCGAGCGGGGGAGCGGCGCUGCCUGUGGAGAUCCGCGGAGGCCGACUGGAUUCGUUGGCUGCCGUCCCCGCUGCCGUGCACUGGAUUUGUCGCCAUUCUGGAAGUAGAUGAUCCUUACCCCUCUGGCUUUCAUUUGUCUGACAGUCUCCAGAAAUCUCGUCAGCAAUUGUUACUUCUCUCAGCUGUCUAAGGUAUAAGAUUACUUACCCAGGCUCCAGUUUGUUCUCAGUGGCUUCAGUCAUGAUUUGUUUCCCAAAUAUUGCUUAACUGAAAGUAGUUUCAUUUAUGGUCUUUUAUAGACUCUUUCACUGGGAAUUGUACCAAAGCCACAGGUAGUUUGAUGAGGUGAUAAUGGGCAAAACACUGACCUAGGCCCUGUCAAUAGCAGGUAUUGGACGUUGGCUAAGCACUGUUUGUUUAUAUUUUAUUGAUUGAUUGGCAUCAAACAAGGAGAGAAGGAGUUGCUUAGUGAUUUCCAGG